rnacentral:rRNA from 1 species
UACGUAGGGUGCGAGCGUUAAUCGGAAUUACUGGGCGUAAAGCGUGCGCAGGCGGUUAUGUAAGACAGAUGUGAAAUCCCCGGGCUCAACCUGGGAACUGCAUUUGUGACUGCAUAGCUAGAGUACGGUAGGAGGGGGAUCGGAAUUCGCGUGUAGCAGUGAAAUGCGUAGAUAUGCGGAGGAACACCGAUGGCGAACGGCAAUCCCCUGGACCUGUACUGACGCUCAUGACACGAAAGGGCGUGGG